rnacentral:misc_RNA from 1 species
UCCGUAGGUGAACCUGCGGAAGGAUCAUUAAAAAAUACAUUAACAAUUGUUUUUGCGAACAAAAAAAUAAAUUUUUUUAUUCGAAUUUCUUAAUAUCA